AAAUUUUUCAAUUAUGUUUACAUUUUAAAAGUCAUCUAGGGCCAACACGAAUUAAUUGUUUUGAAUGUUUUUUGUACCAUAUGAUAAAGUAACAACUUCAAAAGAUAAUAAAUAAAAUUUGUAAUGAAAAACAAAUGUUUAAUUUUUUUCUGAAAUUUUUAUACCCUCGAGCCUCCUUAAUAGCUAUUAUUGAAUGUCUUUCCAACUUCAAAUAUGUUUGAGAAGUUACCUGGCGUUUUAAAGAAACGAGUUCGGACAAUAUUGCACAAUUAAGU
rnacentral:lncRNA from 1 species